AGCGUACACGGUGGAUGCCCUGGCAGUCAGAGGCGAUGAAGGACGUGCUAAUCUGCGAAAAGCGCCGGUAAGGUGAUAUGAACCGUUAUAACCGGCGAUGUCCGAAUGGGGAAACCCGGUGCACUUCGGUGCAUCAUCGUUAGCUGAAUACAUAGGCUAACGAAGCGAACCGGGGGAACUGAAACAUCUAAGUACCCCGAGGAAAAGAAAUCAACCGAGAUUCCCCCAGUAGCGGCGAGCGAACGGGGAACAGCCCAGAGCCUGAAUCAGCUUGUGUGUCAGUGGAACGGUCUGGAAAGGCCGGCGAUACAGGGUGACAGCCCCGUACACGAAGGCACACAGGCUGUGAGCUCGAUGAGUAGGGCGGGACACGUGAUAUCCUGUCUGAAGAUGGGGGGACCAUCCUCCAAGGCUAAAUACUCCUGACUGACCGAUAGUGAACCAGUACCGUGAGGGAAAGGCGAAAAGAACCCCGGCGAGGGGAGUGAAACAGAACCUGAAACCGUGUACGUACAAGCAGUGGGAGCCUUCGUAAGAGGGUGACUGCGUACCUUUUGUAUAAUGGGUCAGCGACUUAUAUUCUGUAGCAAGGUUAACCGUAUAGGGGAGCCGAAGGGAAACCGAGUCUUAACCGGGCGUUAAGUUGCAGGGUAUAGACCCGAAACCCGGUGAUCUAGCCAUGGGCAGGUUGAAGGUUGGGUAACACUAACUGGAGGACCGAACCGACUAAUGUUGAAAAAUUAGCGGAUGACCUGUGGCUGGGGGUGAAAGGCCAAUCAAACCGGGAGAUAGCUGGUUCUCCCCGAAAGCUAUUUAGGUAGCGCCUCGUGAACUCAUCUCCGGGGGUAGAGCACUGUUUCGGCUAGGGGGCCAUCCCGGCUUACCAACCCGAUGCAAACUGCGAAUACCGGAGAAUGUUAUCACGGGAGACACACGGCGGGUGCUAACGUCCGUCGUGAAGAGGGAAACAACCCAGACCGCCAGCUAAGGUCCCAAAGUCAUGGUUAAGUGGGAAACGAUGUGGGAAGGCCCAGACAGCCAGGAUGUUGGCUUAGAAGCAGCCAUCAUUUAAAGAAAGCGUAAUAGCUCACUGGUCGAGUCGGCCUGCGCGGAAGAUGUAACGGGGCUAAACCAUGCACCGAAGCUGCGGCAGCGACACUAUGUGUUGUUGGGUAGGGGAGCGUUCUGUAAGCCUGCGAAGGUGUGCUGUGAGGCAUGCUGGAGGUAUCAGAAGUGCGAAUGCUGACAUAAGUAACGAUAAAGCGGGUGAAAAGCCCGCUCGCCGGAAGACCAAGGGUUCCUGUCCAACGUUAAUCGGGGCAGGGUGAGUCGACCCCUAAGGCGAGGCCGAAAGGCGUAGUCGAUGGGAAACAGGUUAAUAUUCCUGUACUUGGUGUUACUGCGAAGGGGGGACGGAGAAGGCUAUGUCAGCCGGGCGACGGUCGUCCCGGUUUAAGCGUGUAGGCUGACUUUCCAGGCAAAUCCGGAAAGUUAAGGCUGAGGCGUGAUGACGAGGCACCACGGUGCUGAAGUGACAAAUGCCCUGCUUCCAGGAAAAGCCUCUAAGCAUCAGGUAACAUCAAAUCGUACCCCAAACCGACACAGGUGGUCAGGUAGAGAAUACCAAGGCGCUUGAGAGAACUCGGGUGAAGGAACUAGGCAAAAUGGUGCCGUAACUUCGGGAGAAGGCACGCUGACAUGUAGGUGAAGCCCCUGCGGGUGGAGCUGAAGUCAGUCGAAGAUACCAGCUGGCUGCAACUGUUUAUUAAAAACACAGCACUGUGCAAACACGAAAGUGGACGUAUACGGUGUGACGCCUGCCCGGUGCCGGAAGGUUAAUUGAUGGGGUUAUCGCAAGAGAAGCUCCUGAUCGAAGCCCCGGUAAACGGCGGCCGUAACUAUAACGGUCCUAAGGUAGCGAAAUUCCUUGUCGGGUAAGUUCCGACCUGCACGAAUGGCGUAAUGAUGGCCAGGCUGUCUCCACCCGAGACUCAGUGAAAUUGAACUCGCUGUGAAGAUGCAGUGUACCCGCGGCAAGACGGAAAGACCCCGUGAACCUUUACUACAGCUUGACACUGAACAUUGAGCCUUGAUGUGUAGGAUAGGUGGGAGGCUUUGAAGCGUGGACGCCAGUCUGCGUGGAGCCAACCUUGAAAUACCACCCUUUAAUGUUUGAUGUUCUAACCUGGCGCCGUGAUCCGGCGUGGGGACAGUGUCUGGUGGGUAGUUUGACUGGGGCGGUCUCCUCCCAAAGUGUAACGGAGGAGCACGAAGGUCAGCUAAUCCUGGUCGGACAUCAGGAGGUUAGUGCAAUGGCAUAAGCUGGCUUGACUGCGAGAGUGACGGCUCGAGCAGGUGCGAAAGCAGGUCAUAGUGAUCCGGUGGUUCUGUAUGGAAGGGCCAUCGCUCAACGGAUAAAAGGUACUCCGGGGAUAACAGGCUGAUACCGCCCAAGAGUUCAUAUCGACGGCGGUGUUUGGCACCUCGAUGUCGGCUCAUCACAUCCUGGGGCUGAAGUAGGUCCCAAGGGUAUGGCUGUUCGCCAUUUAAAGUGGUACGCGAGCUGGGUUUAGAACGUCGUGAGACAGUUCGGUCCCUAUCUGCCGUGGGCGCUGGAGAAUUGAGGGGGGCUGCUCCCAGUACGAGAGGACCGGAGUGGACGCAUCACUGGUGUUCGGGUUGUCAUGCCAAUGGCACUGCCCGGUAGCUAAAUGCGGAAGAGAUAAGUGCUGAAAGCAUCUAAGCACGAAACUUGCCCCGAGAUGAGUUCU
rnacentral:rRNA from 1 species